CAUGAUGGACAUUGUUCCCGUUGUAUUUCAGGAAUCUGUAAGAAGACAAAUGUAUGCACUGAACUGAGCUGGGUCGAAACUGAGCUUGCAAAAAGAGAACACGGUUGGCUUCUGGAUGACGAUGACAGAGUGGACAUCUGCAUCCAAUUACAUUCCUUCCUGAAACCCCACUCAGAUGCUAAUACAGGAAUUUUUAAAAGCAUAAACCCACAAAGUCAGGGAGGAGAGGAUUGGAGGCCACAGCAACACAAUCCCGGAAAUUCAAAGCAGAAGAUAAGAGUCCUAGAAAGAGAGAGAAAAAUGGAAGGGUACAAAUCAUCAAUGAAAAUUAUUCCAUAAAAUUUCCCAGCAUUGAAGGCCAUGAGUUUCUAGCAUGAAAAGGGCCCACAAUGCCCAGAGAAGAUUCUACAAGAUUCCAGAGGGAGAAAACCAAGUUACAUGAAAAUGAUCAAAAAUGGCUUUGGCCCUAACUGGUUUGGCUCAGUGGAUAGAGCAUCGGCCUGCGGCCCAGGGACUGAAGGGUUCCAGGUUCGAUUCCCGUCAAGGGCA